rnacentral:rRNA from 1 species
CAGCCGCCACGGUAAUACGUAGGGUGCGAGCGUUAAUCGGAAUUACUAGGCGUAAAGCGUGCGCAGGCGGUUAUAUAAGACAGAUGUGAAAUCCCCGGGCUCAACCUGGGACCUGCAUUUGUGACUGUAUAGCUAGAGUACGGUAGAGGGGGAUGGAAUUCCGCGUGUAGCAGUGAAAUGCGUAGAUAUGCGGAGGAACACCGAUGGCGAAGGCAAUCCCCUGGACCUGUACUGACGCUCAUGCACGAAAGCGUGGGGAGCAAACAGGAUUAGAUACCCCUGUAGUCCCUGUCUCUUAUAC